UAAUGUAGCUAUGAAUGAGGGAUGUUUCAGGAGGCCUUCCUGUGCUAUGGGGGUUCUGGGUGACUCUGAGGCACAGAGUUCCCUUCUUCCAGUUGUAAUGUGCUCUCAGCCUUAACAGUCAAGGGGAACAUGAGGAGUCUUGCUGCAAAUGAUUGUUUCUUUGGGCACUAUUCCUGGCGAUAACUUCGAACACAACCUUCAGGCUUUCAUUGAGAGCAUAGAUUCUAUAGCAACGAAAUAACAACCAGAUGACGCAUGCUUCUCAUCUGACCUCACAGUUCGUGUCACCCAGGAAUCAGCUGCAGUCUUUUUAAACAGAGCUGAGCCAGCAGAUGCCUUCUGGGCAUCAGAAAAUCCCUGCAGCCUCUUUCGGAUGUUCACCAAGCUCAGCUGGCCUGGUAACCUGUGAGGGCAGUGUGAAUGAGGUCUCCUCAGCACCCGCUGUGAAUGCAUUCUUCUGGAGUCACCCUAUGCUUAGAGAGACAAUGAGGGGUUUUCUCUCCCUCAGAGAUUUCCUAGGAAGGCUGCUUUCUCGUUAUUCAGCUUUGAUGGGAAAACCAUGAUCAACAAGGACUUCUGUUGUUACAUUUAACCAGGAAUGAUUAGGAUUAGAGAGAGAUUUGCAUCACAGCAGUGACAGGCAAGCGCACCAGCACUGACUGCUGUAUGAAAAGGAGUUAUCAGAGCCAGUAACUAUCGGAAGGAGGUAGCAUCAACUGAAUUUUCUUUAGGGGUUGUUAUAAAGCAAAUUAAUAGCAACUGAAUUCUGAAGAGUGCAGUUUCUGUUGAACGAGCGUGGCUCAGUGGACCUGUAAUCCAGUUUCUGCAAGACUGUAUAGGUGCGUAUGAACAAGGGACUGUGGCAAACCUCUCUCAGGUUUGCCUCUAUGCUUAGACUGACUCCAAGUACCUGGAAAUUCAAAAUAUAAAAUAUUGCAAAGCAAAGCUCCCUGUUGCAGUUGCCUUUGCUCUGGGCUCUUUGGCUGUUGGAUCCUUCGCUGAGCCGUUCCCAAGCUGCCCCUACAGUUCAUGUGCUGGUGAGGAAACAUCCCCAAACUUCCCCUUUGCAGAUGCUGAGCAUGUCUCCCCACUUGUUGUUGUAGCUCUUACUGUUGCUGCAGCCUGCUGGAAGCAGACUAUCCUGGUGCCUGGCAGGGUAGGUGCACCUAGGGGAAGGUGGCUGAAGAAGUCAAACAAGGCUUUGGCCCCUACUCUGUUACCAUAUCUGUCCUGACAAGUAUUUCCUUUUUUUUUUUUUUUGAAAUAACUCUCUAAGAUGUUAUGGUAGCAUCCUGGUUAGUGUUUAAUGUGGCCACAGGUUUCUUCUAGCAUUAUUCUGGGUACUCCUAGGCAGUUCUGGGUUCUCCCUUCAUGUGCUGUUUACGCUCAUAUCCCAGCCAUGCUAACUGCUGUUAUCUAGAUCAGGAGGGCACAUCUAUGACAAGGAACCACGUGCUUUUUUGUGUUUCAUAUGCUCAGGAUGAAGACUUGGUGAUUUAAUUACCCACGUACCAGGGAGCAGACAGAACUGUGAGCAGAGCAAUAAAAGUAGGUGAGAAAGAGAGAAGAACA
ensembl:lncRNA